GGUGGACGGUGUGCGUAGUGUCCGUCUGCGUUUAGUGCCGUCCACAGUCUGUGUCUUACAGAUCGUGUGAUUGUACUCACACUACACUCACAGCCACAGAAUGACUGGAGAUCAUAGUACUGGCUCAGUGACGUCUACAUGACCCUCUACCACUGACCAGCCUCCAUAGUCUCCUACAAAG